rnacentral:sRNA from 1 species
UGAAAUGGAAGUUGAAGACCAGGAUAGUAAAGAAGCCAAAAAACCAAACAUCAUAAAUUUUGACACCAGUCUGCCGACAUCACAUACAUACCUAGGCGCUGAUAUGGAAGAAUUUCAUGGCAGGACUUUGCACGAUGACGACAGCUGUCAGGUGAUUCCAGUUCUGCCACAGGUGAUGAUGAUCCUGAUUCCCGGACAGACAUUACCUCUUCAGCUUUUUCACCCUCAAGAAGUCAGUAUGGUGCGGAAUUUAAUUCAGAAAGAUAGAACCUUUGCUGUUCUUGCAUACAGCAAUAUACAGGAAAGGGAAGCACAGUUUGGAACAACAGCAGAGAUAUAUGCCUAUCGAGAAGAACAGGAUUUUGGAAUUGAGAUAGUGAAAGUGAAAGCAAUUGGAAGACAAAGGUUCAAAGUCCUUGAGCUAAGAACACAGUCAGAUGGGUAAGAAAUAACAUAUACCUUAACGCCCUUUGAAUGUUUCCUAAUGAAAUAGUUUUCUU